rnacentral:rRNA from 1 species
GACGAACGCUGGCGGCGUGCCUAAUACAUGCAAGUAGAACGCUGAAGGAGGAGCUUGCUUCUCCGGAUGAGUUGCGAACGGGUGAGUAACGCGUAGGUAACCUGCCUGGUAGCGGGGGAUAACUAUUGGAAACGAUAGCUAAUACCGCAUAACAGUAGAUGUUGCAUGACAUUUGCUUAAAAGGUGCAAUUGCAUCACUACCAGAUGGACCUGCGUUGUAUUAGCUAGUUGGUGGGGUAACGGCUCACCAAGGCGACGAUACAUAGCCGACCUGAGAGGGUGAUCGGCCACACUGGGACUGAGACACGGCCCAGACUCCUACGGGAGGCAGCAGUAGGGAAUCUUCGGCAAUGGACGGAAGUCUGACCGAGCAACGCCGCGUGAGUGAAGAAGGUUUUCGGAUCGUAAAGCUCUGUUGUAAGAGAAGAACGAGUGUGAGAGUGGAAAGUUCACACUGUGACGUAUCUACCAGA